GAUGAACGCUGGCGGCGUGCUUAACACAUGCAAGUCGAACGAAGUGUUUAUUCAAAGUUCUUCGUGAUAGAGAAUAAAUUACUUAGUGGCGGACGGGUGAGUAACGCGUGGGUAACCUGCCUCACACCGGGGGAUAACAGUUGGUAACGACUGCUACUACCGCAUAGUACCACAGCACCGCAUGGUGCAGGGGUAAAAGAUUUAUCGGUGUGAGAUGGACCUGCGUCUGAUUAGAUAGUUGGUGGGGUAGAAGCCUACCAAGGCAACGAUCAGUAGCCGAGCUGAGAGGGUGAUCGGCCACAUUGGGACUGAGACACGGCCCAAACUCCUACGGGAGGCAGCAGUGGGGAAUAUUGGACAAUGGGGGAAACCCUGAUCCAGCAACGCCGCGUGAGUGAAGAAGUAUUUCGGUAUGUAAAGCUCUAUCAGCAGGGAAGAAAAUGACGGUACCUGACUAAGAAGCCCCGGCUAACUACGUG
rnacentral:rRNA from 1 species